GGGGCUGACAUGGAUUUGACAGCAGGAUGAGGUGUUACGUAAGCACGCAGAGAGUCGCUGAUCGCUCUCUUAAAUCAAUGGUCUGUCAAAUAUUAUCUGGCGAAACUCGUUACGCUCUCGCUGCUUGAUUGAAGUAUAGUAGAUCAGCCUAUCGCGGCACAAGGUGCUGCGACGAGACAUCACUCAGAGGCUAAGGCCCCAAAGCGCUCUGGCUCAGUGGUGCAGCUAAAUUGGGGAUAGUCGUGCGUGGCCUCGCACAUGCGGCGAAAUUUUAGAGGAUAAGGCACAGGUUGGUGGUCCAGGUCUUGCUUGUGCUCGAAAAUUCAGUCUGGAAUAAGCGUGUAGAAAGCGUAGGACGUCCCUGUUUGGACGAGGGUUCAAUUCCCUCCAGCUCCACU
rnacentral:tmRNA from 1 species